AAACUACUUGGCGGGAAACGUAAACGUAAAUAAAACGUGCAGGCAUUGUGUUUUUGAUUCUCAGUGCUGGCUUACAAUCGGCUACAUGAUGUUUUGCUUAGUACGAGUGCUGAAAAGCACAAGAUUUACACCCAGACAAAAUGUAUUAACCCAGCGUUUCUACAUUAACUCUAAUUCUGCAAAAGGCAGAGUCGGUGUCUUGGAGAGUGUAUUUGUGAUGGCCUUUAUCUCGAUUGCCGUCCUUGGUCCGGCUGGAUGGAUCCUGUCCAACGCGUGUGACUCCCACAGAAAACAGCCAUGACUGAGGAGGAUGCCUCCAGAUGGAUUUCAGACACAUCUUUGUAGUGUAGUGGUUUGAGUUGUACAUGAUUAUGAUUGAUUUGUAACACAUUUUUACCCAAAUCUGCUUAAAAUAAACAUCAGUCUGCAUAAGG